rnacentral:rRNA from 1 species
GACAGAGGGUGCAAACGUUGUUCGGAAUUACUGGGCGUAAAGCGCGUGUAGGCGGCCAUCUAAGUCGGGCGUGAAAUCCCACGGCUCAACCGUGGAAGUGCACUCGAAACUGGAUGGCUAGAGUCCUGGAGAGGAAGGUGGAAUGCUUGGUGUAGAGGUGAAAUUCGUAGAUAUCAAGCGGAACACCGGUGGCGAAGGCGGGCCUUCUGGACAGUGACGUGACGCUGAGA